rnacentral:rRNA from 1 species
GACGAACGCUGGCGGCGUGCCUAAUACAUGCAAGUCGAGCGAUGAUUAAAGAUAGCUUGCUAUUUUUAUGAAGAGCGGCGAACGGGUGAGUAACGCGUGGGAAAUCUGCCGAGUAGCGGGGGACAACGUUUGGAAACGAACGCUAAUACCGCAUAACAAUGAGAAUCGCAUGAUUCUUAUUUGAAAGAAGCAAUUGCUUCACUACUUGGUGAUCCCGCGUUGUAGUAGCUAGUUGGUAGUGUAAAGGACUACCAAGGCGAUGAUACAUAGCCGACCUGAGAGGGUGAUGGGCCCCACUGGGACGGAGACACGGCCCAGACUCCGACGGGAGGCAGCAGUAGGGAAUCUUCGGCAAUGGGGGCAACCCUGACCGAGCAACGCCGCGUGAGUGAAGAAGGUUUUCGGAUCGUAAAACUCUGUUGUUAGAGAAGAACGUUAAGUAGAGUGGAAAAUUACUUAAGUGACGGUAUCUAACCAGAAAGGGACGGCUAACUACGUGCCAGCCGCCGCCGUAA